CUCACACACGCGCCUCGCAGGAAGUACAGGCGGGAGGAAAUGACUCGUGAGGCCUCCUUCUGCCGGCUGAGCGCUGCCCUCCCCCUCCUGCUCACACACCGGCCCAGUGCCUGCUGCCAUGAGGGUCCAGGUCUCUAUAUUGUUGUUGUUCCUGGGCCUGGUCCCAGCCCUGGUUCCGACUCAGCAAGAUAACUCCCUGAAGGAUGUCAUAAUGACGACCUUGCUGGCUGAGCAGAGGGCAAUCGUCAGCCCGAGGCCUGAAGCGGGGCAGGACUAUGGAGUCAUGACCCCAUCUAACCCCAACUUGGAUUUGAGAGCCACCACAGGAUCUAGAGGUUCCAGUUCCAGCAGCACGAGCACAACCGCUUCAGGCUCCAAGAGGCCUGUUACCCACAGAGAGACUGGGAACUUGGCCAGAUUAGGAGCCGGCCAAAGCCAGGAGGAAAUCUUCAGUUACGAUUACAACUCCCUGCGCAAGUGGGGCCUGAUAGCUGCCGCCAUCCUGUUCGUCCUGGGCAUCCUCAUCCUCACCUGUGGUAAAUAUGGGAAAUUCUCCAGAUGUGGGGGCCGGAAGCAGAGGAGCGCCUAUGAUAUCUCACGACUCUGAGGCACCCCCUGCUGGGGGAUCCCUGUGGGGCUGGACACUGCUUGGAGGGGCCGGCUCGGAGCCCCACAGCGAUGCUGCGUGCCUGUUGGGGCGGCUGGGGCAGAACCAGCAGCACAGACCUGAGGGCUGCCAAGUGCCCCUUGCUCCCCCCUCUGUGAUCCGUCUGUCAACAGCACCCCAGCUCUGAUCACCCCAGCCCGACCCCUCUAGCCCCCACCGAUUCCCCAGCCUGCCCCCGGGCCUGGAUCCUCCAUCCCUCUCCUUUCCCCCCAUCUCUGUCCCCUCUCCGUCCCAGUCUGAUCUCCCACAUUCCUCUCUCCACUCCCUUCCAGGCUUGUCCUCCCAUCCCUGUCCCCUCCCCCUUCCUGGCCUGGAUUCCCCAUCCUUGUCCCCCAUUCAGGCCUUAUCCCCCCCGCCCCAAUCCGAGUCCCCAGUCUGUGCCUGGCCUGCCCCCCCGGCCCCGUCUUGUAUUUUGAUGACAUUAAAUGCCUGCCCCUGGGGAAGCAAAGGGUCUGUGAGCCUCUCACACAACAUGGAGGGGUGGGGGUGGGGGUAUGAGUCAGGACUCCUGGGUUCUAUUCCCAGCUCUGGGAGGGGAGUGAGUCUAGUGGGUUGGAGCUGGGAGCCAGGACUCCUGGGUUUCAUCCUUGGCCCUGGGAGGGGAGUGAGUCUAGUGGGUUGGAG
rnacentral:lncRNA from 1 species